rnacentral:rRNA from 1 species
GACGAACGCUGGCGGCGUGCCUAAUACAUGCAAGUCGAACGAAGCUGUUUUAACUGGUGCUUGCACCGACUUAAACAACUGAGUGGCGAACGGGUGAGUAACACGUGGGUAACCCGCCCCAAAGCGGGGGAUAACAUUUGGAAACAGAUGCUAAUACCGCAUAACCACAGAAACCACAUGGUUUCUGUGUUAAAGAUGGUUUCGGCUAUCACUUUGGGAUGGACCCGCGGCGUAUUAGCUAGAUGGUAACGUAAUGGCUUACCAAGGCAAUGAUACGUAGCCGAACUGAGAGGUUGAUCGGCCACAUUGGGACUGAGACACGGCCCAAACUCCUACGGGAGGCAGCAGUAGGGAAUCUUCCACAAUGGACGAAAGUCUGAUGGAGCAACGCCGCGUGAGUGAAGAAGGUUUUCGGAUCGUAAAACUCUGUUGUCAGAGAAGAACGUGUGCGAGAGUAACUGCUCGUGCAGUGACGGUAUCUGGCCAGAAAGCCACGGCUAACUACGUGCCAGCCGCCGCAGUAA